UGCCAGGAUGAAAAGAGCUAAGAAUUUAGUCAGUGCUGGGUUUUGUUGACUGAAAAAAGCUCUUCCUAUAUUCACUGUGUUGCUUGUUUAGGCUCUUCACAGAGCUAGCCAGUGAGACUGUGGUGUGCUCCUACAUUUGAAAAAAAUGCUUCCAAAUUGCUACUUUCCUAGAAACGUCUCAAUUUGCUACUAAUCCUAGACAUGCCUGUGGGAAUGCUAGAAUGCCUUCCUUGAUUGCAAUAUCCACAGACUUUUUCUUAAAUGUUAGUGAAUAUACACUGAUUUAUUCAUUCUUUGAAAAUACUCUGAAUAAUGGGCUGAAAAGAUAACUGGAUAAGCAUGGAAAACACCAUAAUUAAGGGAAAGAGUAAGAGCUACAAAGUUAAACUUCCUUGGGUUCUUGACAUCUCAAGAUUGUAACCAGUAGUUAUUGAUGGGUUCUUAACUUGGGGUCCUUGGAGUCAUGGAGGAUCAGUGGACGCCCUUCAAUGUGGUCCACAAAUUUCCUGAUAUUGUAUGGAAACAUUUGUAAGUAUGGGUUCAUAACUCUCAUCUGAUUUCUAAUGGGAUCCCUUGAAAAUCAAGAAUCACUUCCAUAAAUUCCCUGAAAGUGAUUUCAUGAAGGUAGAAAGGAUAGUAGCAUUUAUGACAGUAUUCAUGGAUAAUCACUAUGGUGUGAAUAUUUAUCCCCUCCAAAACUCAUGUUGAACUUUGAUCCCUGAUGUGGCAAUAUUGAGAAGUAGGGUCAUUAAAAGGUGAUUGGAUCAUGAAAACUCUGCCCUUGUGAAUGGAUUAAUCCAUUCGUAGAUUAAUGAAUUAGUGGGUUAAUGGGUUAUCACGGGAGUGGGACUGGUGGCUUUAUAAGAAGAGGAAUAGAGACUGGAGCUAGCCUUCUCAGCCCUCCCUGUCAUGUGAUGCCCUGUGCCACCCUGGGACUCUGCAGAGAGUCCCCACCAGCAAGAAGGCUCUCACCAGAUAUGGCCCCUCAACCUUGGAGUUCUUAGCCUUCAUAACUGUAAGAAAUAAGUUAUUUUUCUUUAUAAAUUACCCAGUUUCAGUUAUUCUGUUAUAAGCCACAUAAAACGGACUAUGACCAUGACUUUAUGUAAUUGCCAUAGAAUAUGAGGCAGUGCAACAGAGCAAUAGGGCCUAGGAGUCAGCAGACCUGAUCUCUAGCUCUGGUUUCCUAGUUACCAGCCAUGUGACCUUGCAUAAGUGUCGGUCCCAUUUCAGCCUCAGUUUGCCUACCUUUUAAAUGGAGGAAACCAUACUUCAUGUGGCCUUAUUUUAAAUGAUCAGAUGUGUGUGAAAAUGCUAUUGAAACUUCAAGGCGUUAUCUAAAAGCAAGAGAUGUUUACUCUCAUACCUGUAGUUGGUGUAUGUUCUUGGUCACUAGAGGGAGCCUUAGCAUUCAGGGGAAGAAUAAGCUAGUGAUACUUAUUCUUGAAAGCUUGAGGCCUCUAUGAGAAGUAAUUCUUUAAAAAACUUGCGCUUUAUAAAUAUCCACUUCGAUUUUUUAGAAAAUUCAGAGAAAGGUCUAUAAAAGCAAAUAUGACCACAGUUCCUUGUGACAUAGAUUUUCCCACCCAUUAACCCACAGGAUUCUUCCUUUUAACUUUCUCUAUGAUAAAUUUAGCUUGUUGAAAAUCCUAAUAUUUAUGUAGAAUUAAUUUAACAGCAAGAAAAAGAAAGUAGAAAACACAAUUUUCCAGAAGGCCAUAGGAAGAAAGUACUUUUCCAUUAGCAAAAACAAUCCAUUGUAAAUUCCAUGGCACAUGGUAAUGCUGUUAGAGGAUUUUUGUAUCCAGGCAGGACAGGGGAAGUACAUUGUCUAACUUUGGCUUUCGAUGUCCUAUUGGGACCUUCUGAAGUUCUUAACUGGUGUGUUUUCCUCCUGCUAGUGCUAGAGUGGGAGGAAUCUUACUCAUUUGAAAAGAGCUUGACUGUUACAUCAGAGGACCCCAGGAUGGUCUGAAGGAGGAGAGGCUGUUUCUUCUUAAAGCUUUCAAGUGGUGUAUAAGUCCCUUUAUGCUGCUAUAAAGGAAUACCCAAGACUGGGUAACUUACAAAGAAAAGAGAUUUAUUUGGCUCAUUGUUCUGCUGGCUAUACAUGAAGCAUAAUGCCAGCAUUUGCUCUGGUGAGGGCCUCAAGAAGCUUAUAAUCAUGGAAGAAGGAGAUGGAGAGCCAGCAUGUCACAUGGAAGCGUGAGAGGAAGCAAGAGAGAGGGGGGAGGAGGUGCUAGGUUGUUUUAAACAACCAGUUCUCUUGUGAACUCAGAGAAAACUCACUCAUUACUGUGAGGACAGCAGCGGCAAGUCAUUCAUGAGGCAUCCACCCCCAUGACUCAAACACCUCCCACUAGGCCCACCUCCAACACCGGAGGCCACAUUUCAACAUGUGAUUUGGAGGGGACAAGCAUCCAAUCCAUAUCAGGUGGGGAAGGUCAGGAGGUGGACAACAGAAUCAUUGUUGCCCAGUUUAGGACUUCUCAAAUUUUAGUGUACAUGGAAAUCACUGGAGUUCUCAUUAAAAUGCAAAUUCUGAUUCCAUAGGUCUGGGAGUGAAGUCAGUGGGUAGAAGAGCUGAUUCAGCAUUGCCAAGGCAUUCCCAGGUGAUCCAGUAUGGCUGGUCUUUGGACCACACUGAGUAGCAAGGCCUUAAAUAAUUUGUAUGUCUUGUGUUUCCUGUUUCAAGCUGAUGCACGAUGUUAGUAGGAUGAGGAAUACAUUUUAUAAGCUAUCCCCCUAUCUGUCAGAAAUGAAGAAUGAAUAAGUAAUGAUUGCAAAGCAUAUGAAAAAUCAUGAGGUCACACAUUCUGUCUUCUGAAUUAACACUUCAAGCAGAUCUGGUUUUUCUCAUGAGAUUGCAAAGCAACUGUUUAUUUGAGCAUCCUCUCCCCUCCCCUCCCCCUCCGCCUCCCCUCCCCUCCCCCUCUGCCUCCUCUCCCCUCUCCCUCCGCCUCCCCUCCCUUCCCUCUCUGCCUCCCCCACCUCCUCCCCUCCCCUCUUUUCUUUUCUCUUUUCUUUUCUUUUUUUCUUUCUUUUCAUCUUAGUCUGUUGCCCAGGCUAGCUCGCUCACUACAGCCUCCACCUCCUGGGUUCAAGCGAUUCUCAUGCCUCAGCCUCCCGAGUAGCUGGGACUACAGGUGUAUGCCACCACACCCGGCUAAUUUUUGUAUUUUUAGUAGAGACAGGUUUUUACCAUGUUGGCCAUGCUGGUCUCAAACUCCUGACCUUAAGUAAGCCGCCUGCCUCAGCCUCCCAAAGUGCUGGGAUUACAGGCAUGAGCCACCAUGCUCAGCCUAUUUGAGGUUAUUUUUCAUUGGUGGGCAUCACGUUCUAUACCACAUUUAUGCAGGAACACAGUAGGACAGCAUGAGACUCAGUCUACCAAUUCCUCUGGCUCUAAAUCAUCUGUUUUCUUCUUCUUUCUCUUACUACCAGGAAGUAAUCCAAUUAUUGCUUAUGCAAAGGGAUGAGAAAUUUCAGGUUUUUCUUGAAUAUUCUCUGGAGAGCUGCAUUUUGGAAUUGUUAUAGUGAGUUUUUAGACCAUUAAUUUGGCUCAUUUUAUGUUGCUUUGGAGCUGCUGUUAUUUUUACAAUUUGUCUUAUCUUGGUGAAACUGUAAGUUCAUUGUAGUUGGAGGUCAUGCCUCUAUCUUUAUAGGACUGGAAGAUUGGAAGUGAACUUUACACUCAUCAAGUCCCGUUUCCUCUUUAAUAUUUGAAUUUCUACAAGCCAGCCUCUGCUUGAAAUACAGUUGGUGAUGGGGAUCUUACUACUUUAUAUUCUAACCUUUGAACGGCUCUAAGUAUGAGAAAGCUUUUCUAUUAUUGAAUUUAGAGUGGUCUCCCUGUGGCUUUUGUCCACUAGCCCAGUUUUAUUGACUGAGGGCAAUUCUUUUGUCUUGAGUGGGGUGUGGACACUUAAUGCAUAUUGUUGGAUAAUGACUUGUUCAGGCCUAGGUCGUGGGGUUCUCUGUGCCUUUGGCAAUUCCUCAUGCAGCAGAGUAGCCUUUAACUUCCGAGCUGUGGAAUAAACCUGGGGCAAGGUCCAAAGCUGCACUGCCAGAAAUUGCCUGAGCCAGGGUGAAGUAAAAUAGUCACUCCUCAUACGGACUUUAUCUUGCUUGAUUACAGGGGUUUACCAUUUCCUGCAUUUCCUUCUUACACCCAUCCUGACUUAAGCCUUAAAUCAAAUGCAGGAUGAAAAUUCGUGAUUACUCAUGAAUUUUCACUCAACAAGAUCAUUCAAUAGGAAUCUUUAAAAUGGUGUCAAUUUACAAAAUAUUUUUUUCUUUAGUCCUUACCUAAUGCAAAAUUUUAAAACUGGCAAAGUUGGACUUUGGUCCUUCUUUCCUAUCCCUCUUCCGGAACCUUUCCACCCUUCCUGUUUUAUGCUCCAUGGGUGAUCUGAUCUCCAGGGAUUCUCCCUUGCAGUAUCAUCUAUGCCUUAGACCAUACAUUUCCUCUUUCCUCUUCAAAACUUACCUGUUUCCACUGUCUUAUUCUUUCAGCAACUGGCUUUAUGCAAUGGGAACUUGGUUGCUAAUGGGUUUUUCUCCCCUUAACAAAUCCUUCAUAAUGUGUAAGAUAGCUCUUGCUUUAUCUGUCUACCUCAGUGUCAUAAUCUCUUAAUCUUGUCAAACACGUGUUUCCAGAUGGCCCUUAUGGAAUGGCUUUAUAGUGAGGAAGGAUAGGUAUCAUGAUAAGGUCAUGGAUGAGAAAAUGUUUUGGUCUGUGUGUCCCUCAGUACAAGUUCACAUCAUGCAUUUCCCUCAUUACAUCAUACUAGUCUCUAUAAACAACAAAACAGCUCUUAUUACAUGGGAUUAUUAAUUACAGCUACUUGCUAUGUUCCAGGUACUGUGUCCAGGGCUUAAUCGAUUUCUCAUUUAAUGUUCACAACAAUCCUGCCAUGUAGGAAGAAUUAUUCUCAUUUUACAGCAAACUGAAGUUCAGAGAGCAUAAGGGAAAUGGUUGUGCUUUAGUCAGGGGUAGGCUGAGGUGGCAUAGCAUGACUCAGCGGGUUUGGAGUGCAGGUGCACAACUCUGCACAUUAUGGAACCACGCCACAUGAGGCGCAUUAGGUGAUCACCCACAUGAGUUCCUGCUUGGCUCAGAGCCACUAUUGUCUGUAAAAGGUAUAACUACCCUGCUGUUGCUGUACAUACAGCUUGCGCCCAGGCUCACUCAUGCCCAGAGAGAGAGUAAAGCCAUGUCAAAACUGUUUAUGCUUCCUCGAGUGUUUUUCCAGCUACCUGCCACUUGCCCACCAACUCCCCUCGGACCUCAGUUAGAACCUAACAGAGAGGUUAGGUAAUUUGCUUAUCAUCACAUAGCUACUACAUUGCAGAGACAGGGUUCAAACCAAGUUCUGUCUGACUGAAGCCCAUGUGGCCUUCUUUUCUCUGAUCACCCGAAGAACAGAAAUCUAGGAUUAGUGAGAUUCCUUAGACAAGCCCUGCUUUGUCCACUUGCAAUGUAACCUUCCUACUUCAUCUAAGUGUGAAAAAACUACCACCUUCUUCUUCCCUGUUCUCUCAGCUUUCAUCUCUCCCAGUUUUCUAUGCUGAGAAAGGCUUUUUCUGGCUUCUACAUGCACAAGAAUAACAAAUAUCUGUUAUUGAAUUAUAAGAAUUUAUUAUGGAAUGGGAGGGGGAAUACUAAAAAAUCCCAUCUGGGGCCAAUUAAAAAGAACUGUGUUCCCAA